UACGGGGGAGCAAGCGUUGUUCGGAUUUACUGGGCGUAAAGGGCGCGUAGGCGGCCACCGCAAGUCAAUUGUGAAAUCUCCGGGCUUAACUCGGAAAGGUCAACUGAUACUGCGGGGCUAGAGUGCGGAAGGGGCAACUGGAAUUCUCGGUGUAGCGGUGAAAUGCGUAGAUAUCGAGAGGGAACACCUGCGGCGAAGGCGGGUUGCUGGGCCGACACUGACGCUGAGGCGCGGAAAGCCAGGGGAGCGAACGGG
rnacentral:rRNA from 1 species